rfam:Acidovorax temperans strain KY4 Contig_29, whole genome shotgun sequence.
GCAACCUCAAGCUGGCGCAUGGCAAUGUGGUGGUGUUCCGCUCGCUCUUGGGCAUCAGCUGGAUGUGGUUCUUCGGCGCCGUCUUCCUGUCGCAGUUUCCGGCCUUGGCCAAAGAGGUGUUG